rnacentral:rRNA from 1 species
UACGUAGGGGGCAAGCGUUGUUCGGAAUUACUGGGCGUAAAGGGCGCGUAGGCGGCACGGCAAGUCGGGCGUGAAAGCCCGGGGCUCAACCCCGGAACGUCUUUCGAAACUGCCGAGCUAGAGUGCGGAAGGGGCAACUGGAAUUCCCAGUGUAGCGGUGAAAUGCGUAGAUAUUGGGAAGAACACCUGAGGCGAAGGCGGGUUGCUGGGCCGACACUGACGCUGAGGCGCGAAAGCCAGGGGAGCGAACGGG